CGAAUAAGCACCGGCUAACUCCGUGCCAGCAGACCGCGGUAAUACGGAGGGGUGCAAGCGUUAUCCGGAAUCGACUGGGGUUUAAAAGGGUGCGUAGGCGGUUUGAUAAGUCAGAGGUGAAAGCUAGCAGCUUAACUGUUAAAUUGCCUUUGAUACUGUCAGACUUGAAUCAAGUUGAGGUAGGCGGAAUGUGACAUGUAAGCGGUGAAAAUGCAUAGAUAUGUCAUAGAACACCAAUUGCGUAGGCAGCUUGCUGGGCUGAAUUGACGCUGAGGCACGAAAGCGUGGGGAUCAAACAGGAUUAGAUACCCUGGUAGUCCACGCCCUAAACGAUGUUAACUCGAUAUUUAUUCUUCGGAGUGAGUGUCCAAGCGAAAGCGUUAAGUUAACCACCUGGGGGAGUACGUUCGCAAGAAUGAAACUCAAAGGAAUUGACGGGGG
rnacentral:rRNA from 1 species